CCUACGGGUGGCAGCAGUGGGGAAUAUUGCACAAUGGGGGAAACCCUGAUGCAGCAACGCCGCGUGAAGGAAGACGGUUUUCGGAUUGUAAACUUCUGUUCUUAGUGAAGAAUAAUGACGGUAGCUAAGGAGCAAGCCACGGCUAACUACGUGCCAGCAGCCGCGGUAAUACAUAGGGGGCUAGCGUUAUCCGGAAUUACUGGGCGUAAAGGGUGCGUAGGUGGUUUCUUAAGUCAGAGGUGAAAGGCUACGGCUCAACCGUAGUAAGCCUUUGAAACUGGGAAACUUGAGUGCAGGAGAGGAGAGUGGAAUGCCUAGUGUAGCGGUGAAAUGCGUAGAUAUUAGGAGGAACACCAGUUGCGAAGGCGGCUCUCUGGACUGUAACUGACACUGAGGCACGAAAGCGUGGGGAGCAAACAGGAUUAGAUACCCCAGUAGUC
rnacentral:rRNA from 1 species